rnacentral:rRNA from 1 species
UGGGGAAUAUUGGACAAUGGGCGAAAGCCUGAUCCAGCCAUGCCGCGUGUGUGAAGAAGGUCUUCGGAUUGUAAAGCACUUUAAGUUGGGAGGAAGGGCAUUAACCUAAUACGUUAGUGUUUUGACGUUACCGACAGAAUAAGCACCGGCUAACUCUGUGCCAGCAGCCGCGGUAAUACAGAGGGUGCAAGCGUUAAUCGGAAUUACUGGGCGUAAAGCGCGCGUAGGUUGUCUGUUAAGUUGGAUGUGAAAGCCCCGGGCUCAACCUGGGAACUGCAUCCAAAACUGGCAAGCUAGAGUACGGUAGAGGGUGGUGGAAUUUCCUGUGUAGCGGUGAAAUGCGUAGAUAUAGGAAGGAACACCAGUGGCGAAGGCGACCACCUGGACUGAUACUGACACUGAGGUGCGAAAGCGUGGGGAGCAAACA